GCCCCUGUAGCUCAGAGGAUAGAGCAGCGGUUUCCUAAACCGCGUGUCGUGCGUUCGAGUCGCACCAGGGGUA
rnacentral:tRNA from 1 species